rnacentral:rRNA from 1 species
ACUUAAAUUUUAAGCUUCUACACCUAAAAAUAAUUUUAAUCCAACAUCGAGGUCGCAAUCUUUUUUAUUAAUAUGAACUUUAAAAAAAAAUUACGCUGUUAUCCCUAAGGUAAUUUAAUCUUUUAAUCAAUAAAAAUGGAUCAAUUAAUCAUAUAUAAAUGGUUAAAAAUAAUAAAAGAUUAUUAAAUUUUAUUGUCACCCCAACAAAAUAUUAAAAUUAAUAAAAAAUUAAAUUAUUUAUAUAAAUAAUAUUAAUUUUAAUAUUAAACUCUAUAGGGUCUUCUCGUCUUUUAAUCUUAUUUAAGCCUUUUAACUUAAAAGUUAAAUUAUAUUUAAAUUUUUAUGAUACAGCUAAUAUUUCGUUCAACCAUUCAUACAAGUUUUCAAUUAAAAAACUAAUGAU